GGAUCCAGACUUUGAUUAUGGCUCAGGAUGAACGCUAGCUACAGGCUUAACACAUGCAAGUCGAGGGGCAGCGGGAUUGAAGCUUGCUUCAAUUGCCGGCGACCGGCGCACGGGUGAGUAACGCGUAUCCAACCUUCCGUACACUCAGGGAUAGCCUUUCGAAAGAAAGAUUAAUACCUGAUGGUAUGAUGAGAUUGCAUGAUAGCAUCAUUAAAGAUUUAUCGGUGUACGAUGGGGAUGCGUUCCAUUAGGUAGUAGGCGGGGUAACGGCCCACCUAGCCAACGAUGGAUAGGGGUUCUGAGAGGAAGGUCCCCCACAUUGGAACUGAGACACGGUCCAAACUCCUACGGGAGGCAGCAGUGAGGAAUAUUGGUCAAUGGACGAGAGUCUGAACCAGCCAAGUAGCGUGAAGGAUGAAGGUCCUACGGAUUGUAAACUUCUUUUAUAAGGGAAUAAACCCUCCCACGUGUGGGAGCUUGUAUGUACCUUAUGAAUAAGCAUCGGCUAACUCCGUGCCAGCAGCCGCGGUAAUACGGAGGAUGCGAGCGUUAUCCGGAUUUAUUGGGUUUAAAGGGAGCGCAGACGGGUCGUUAAGUCAGUUGUGAAAGUUUGGGGCUCAACCUUAAAAUUGCAGUUGAUACUGGCGUCCUUGAGUGCGGUUGAGGUGUGCGGAAUUCGUGGUGUAGCGGUGAAAUGCUUAGAUAUCACGAAGAACUCCGAUUGCGAAGGCAGCACACUAAUCCGUAACUGACGUUCAUGCUCGAAAGUGUGGGUAUCAAACAGGAUUAGAUACCCUGGUAGUCCACACGGUAAACGAUGGAUACUCGCUGUUGGCGAUAUACUGUCAGCGGCUUAGCGAAAGCGUUAAGUAUCCCACCUGGGGAGUACGCCGGCAACGGUGCAACUCAAAGGAAUUGACGG
rnacentral:rRNA from 1 species